UAACUACUCCCACCGUCCCAAAAUAAGUGUCUUUGAUUUAGUAAAAUUUUAGAAAAUUUUACUAAAUCAAAGACACUUAUUUUGGGACGGAGGGAGUACAUC
rfam:Triticum aestivum genome assembly, contig: Triticum_aestivum_CS42_TGACv1_scaffold_374645_5AL